GGCAGCUGCCAUGGAAACAGUGCACUCCCAAACACACCCCUGCCUUCUUGCCUCUGCAGGGCACCUCCACAUUUGGACUAGCGAGCAUGUUUACUGGAAUGAAGAUAGAGAUAAAUGGCAGAGGGGACUUUUUGGUUUUCAAUUCACUGCGUGGAGCCUGAUUAAUUGAGCUGAUGUUGUAGUCACAAUGAAAGGAGGAGGAGUUUCCCAGAACCAGCUAGCCUGGCUGAACUGAGAACUGGGUCAAAGCCUGGCAGCAACAACGCACUUCAGAGCACAGUCAUCAAGAAGCAGUCUCUGCAAUACUUCUCUCAGGCACUAUCACAGAAAAACCACCACAGCUGGGUUCAAACAGUACAAAAGGCAAUAAGUAGUAUCACUACCAGGAAGCCAAGCAUAACAAAAAAGCAGACAAGCACCAAAAAACAAAGCACCUAGCCACAAAUACAUGCCCACACUGUCUCACCUGGCAGAGUCCAAACCAGACCUGGUGGUCUUCAUGCAGUAUUUCUACUCCUGCUGCAGCAGUGGCAGGUGGGAUACAGCCAGGAAGCCUUUGCUGCACGUCUCCCUGCUGGGGCUGGUUGGUGCAGCUCAGCCCUUCUCACUGCUGCACGUCCUCUGCAGGUCAGUCUCAGCUUCCUUCCUCCAAGCUUCAGCUGAAAUCAAUGUAAAAAAAAUUAGCUCACUCAGAGGUUAACUUGGAGCACCUGGUGCCCAGGCCCUGUUAGGCACCUCCAAGGGCUAAGUUCAGUCCUUACAGCUGCCUCUGCUCCAGCAAGCCCACUGCUGUCCUGUGGUGUUCCAGCAGGACCCAGGCCUCUGCAGUGGCAGGGACCCCCAGUCUGCUCUGUGUGUCUGUGCAGAUGAAGAUCCUUGGGGGCUUGGCUCCUCUGCCACACUGAUAACACUGUGCACAUCAGUCAGGGCAGUGAGGGUGCUGAUCCUAAAAUCAGGCCCAGGCAAAAGGAAGAGGAAACAGUUUCACUAGAAACUCAGUCUUUGGCACAUUGACUCAAGUUAAGUUCUGAGUGAAAUAAAAUAUGCUAUAAAGACUUUAAUAAAAAUCCAUUUACCCAAA